rnacentral:misc_RNA from 1 species
UUGUUUAAAUUUACUUAAACUCCGACGCAAUGAUGCAGUGUUUGAUGGGCCUCCGGGGGCGCCGCGCCGCGCGAGCGGCAGGGUCGCCCCCGAAGCAACAAGUUGUGUUCACAAAGGGUUGGAGGUCGGGACGCGAGGUCCCUCACUCAGUAAUGAUCCCUCCGCAGGUUCACCUACGGAGA